rnacentral:rRNA from 1 species
CAAAGGAAUUGACGGGGCCCGCACAAGCGGCGGAGCAUGCGGAUUAAUUCGAUGCAACGCGAAGAACCUUACCAAGGCUUGACAUACACCGGUAACGCCCAGAGAUGGGUGCCCCUUUGUGGUCGGUGUACAGGUGGUGCAUGGUUGUCGUCAGCUCGUGUCGUGAGAUGUUGGGUUAAGUCCCGCAACGAGCGCAACCCUCGUCCUAUGUUGCCAGCGGGUCAUGCCGGGGACUCAUGGGAGACUGCCGGGGUCAACUCGGAGGAAGGUGGGGAUGACGUCAAAUCAUCAUGCCCCUUAUGUCUUGGGCUUCACGCAUGCUACAAUGGCCGGUACAAAGGGCUGCGAUACCGCGAGGUGGAGCGAAUCCCAGAAAGCCGGUCUCAGUUCGGAUUGGGGUCUGCAACUCGACCCCAUGAAGUCGGAGUCGCUAGUAAUCGCAGAUCAGCAACGCUGCGGUGAAUACGUUCCCGGGCCUU